GCUCUGUUAGGCCGAGUGGUUAUGGCGCAAGUAUGUCUUCAUGCUCCUUGUAGUAAAGAUAUUGUUACUAACCCCUUGAGAAGGUUUCAGGCAUAUCUGAAGCUCCAGCUGGUUUUAAGAAGUCCUUAUACUUGUGGACUUUGUCCGCGUGGGUUCGAGUCCCACCCUCAUCA